rnacentral:rRNA from 1 species
UACGAAGGGGGCGAGCGUUGUUCGGAAUUACUGGGCGUAAAGGGCGCGCAGGCGGCUCUGAAAGUCAGAUGUGAAAGCCCCGGGCUUAACCUGGGAACUGCAUUUGAUACUCUGGAGCUUGAGUACGGGAGAGGAUAGUGGAAUUCCCAGUGUAGAGGUGAAAUUCGUAGAUAUUGGGAAGAACACCGGUGGCGAAGGCGGGUCUCUGGGCCGAUAUUGACGCUGAGGAGCGAAAGCGUGGGGAGCGAACAGG